rnacentral:rRNA from 1 species
UACGGGGGGUGCAAACGUUGCUCGGAAUCAUUGGGCGUAAAGCGCACGUAGGCGGUCUGUUAUGUCGGAUGUGAAAGCCCUCGGCUCAACUGAGGAAGUGCAUCCGAAACUGGCAGGCUAGAGUACUAAAGAGGGUCUCGGAAUUCCCGGUGUAGAGGUGAAAUUCGUAGAUAUCGGGAGGAACACCGGUGGCGAAGGCGGCGACCUGGGUAGAUACUGACGCUGAGGUGCGAAAGCGUGGGGAGCAAACAGG